GAAGGCGAAAGGAAGAAAGCGUUUCCGUCAUAUGUGCAAAGCCUACUGUUGCAUAAAACAAAUUUCGUGAGAACGGAAACACGACUAACGUUGUCAACCGCUUAGAUCGAACGUUAUAAGGCUAUAAUACCGGGCAACAUCCUGGCCGGAACGAAGUCGGAUAUAUAAAAGGCUUCUUAUAUCCAAGUGAAUGCAUGGUCAUCAAGUGUUUCUAAAAUUUUUCUUUAUCGUGUUUCCCUUGUUGUACUACUUAGUUUAUCGUAAAUACGCCUGACAAUGGCGAAAGUGACCCUGAUGCUAUUCUUCGUAAUUUUGGUUUCUGCUGGUAUGGUACUCUCCGCCUCCGUCUUGCCAGGAACAGAAACGGAUGUAAAGAUUGAAUAUGGACUGACCAGUCCUGCAAUCAGCUAUAAGGCGCUUGGAUUCGGCACUCGACAGAAGCGUGGCUGCUCAGUCUGCUGCACUUGGCGUCCGUUCAACUGCAACAUGUGCUGCGACUGGGGAUAAUUAGACUGGAAUGUUACCGUGAAAUCUUGGCUGGCCAGUUGUACAGAGUACUUCCAAAUUCAACAUGCCACUUAGGAGGUUUACCGGCCAGUGACGCCACCAUACAUACAUACAUACGUGACCGCGUUAUCCUUCUUCAUGCAUACGUGUAAAAUUAGUUUUUAAACAAAAUAGCCCUGCUUCUUUGCACAAUAGUGGAAAAACUGGUUUUACCCGCAUUCAUAUUAUAUCAAGUACAUGUAUAUCUAUGUAUAUUUCAAGUAUUUGCAUACAUGUGUAUUUCGCGCUUUGUAUACGGUAUAUAUGAAUAUACGGCUUAUUAUAUUUGUAUUUUGUAAUUAUGAGAUUGUGGAAGCAAGUAAAACUGCAUAUGAUAAA